UGUUCAAGUAUAACUUGCAAUGUGGGAGGCCC
rnacentral:piRNA from 1 species